rnacentral:rRNA from 1 species
ACUCCUACGGGAGGCAGCAGUGGGGAAUUUUGGACACUGGGCGAAAGCCUGAUCCAGCAAUGCCGCGUGCAGGAUGAAGGCCUUCGGGUUGUAAACUGCUUUUGUACGGAACGAAAAAGCUCCUUCUAAUACAGGGGGCCCAUGACGGUACCGUAAGAAUAAGCACCGGCUAACUACGUGCCAGCAGCCGCGGUAAUACGUAGGGUGCGAGCGUUAAUCGGAAUUACUGGGCGUAAAGCGUGCGCAGGCGGUUAUGUAAGACAGAUGUGAAAUCCCCGGGCUCAACCUGGGAACUGCAUUUGUGACUGCAUGGCUAGAGUACGGUAGAGGGGGAUGGAAUUCCGCGUGUAGCAGUGAAAUGCGUAGAUAUGCGGAGGAACACCGAUGGCGAAGGCAAUCCCCUGGACCUGUACUGACGCUCAUGCACGAAAGCGUGGGGAGCAAACAGGAUUAGAUACCCUGGUAGUCCCAUG